rnacentral:misc_RNA from 1 species
GAUGAAGAACGUAGCGAAAUGCGAUAAGUAAUGUGAAUUGCAGAAUUCAGUGAAUCAUCGAAUCUUUGAACGCACAUUGCGCCCGCCAGUAUUCUGGCGGGCAUGCCUGUUCGAGCGUCAUUUCAACCAUCAAGCCCUGCUUGCGUUGGGGUCCUGCGGCUGCCCGCAGGCCCUGAAAACCAGUGGCGGGCUCGCUAGUCACACCGAGCGCAGUAAUACAUCUCGCUUUGGACGUGCGGCGGGUUCUUGCCGUUAAACACCCCCUUUUUACCAAGGUUGACCUCGGAUCAGGUAGGAAUACCCGCUGAACUUAAGCAUAUCAAUAAGCGGAGGA